ensembl:lncRNA
CACCCGGGUGAUCAGCUUCCUCUCCAUUCCGCAACUACACUACACCAAGGGAGGGGCCCCACCCUGCAAACCCUCACUUCUCCAGCCAGUCUCUAUUCUACUUCACGGACAACAACUAAGCGCCGUGUGCUUUCCGUGAACUCUGGCCAGGUCAAACCAAGCCGCACCUUACUGACUCGCGCCGUCCCUAGCUGUCCCGCAAAGCCUCCGUAGUGGGGGAAGGGUGGCCCAGGGUGGAGGUCCGCGCGCACCGACUUCCGCCCCCCACACACACCGCGCGAUCCGUGGCCCGMGGCGGGAGCUGCGGUUGGACUGAGACGCCUGCGCACUGCCGCCCUCCUCGCGGCCCCGGGCACCCCACCCCCCGGUCUGGUCGCGCCCAUGCGCCUGCGCUGUGCACGUUUCGGGGCUGCGGCAGCCAUGCUGAACCCGUACAGAGAGGCGAGUGGGGGGGACAAGGUCGACGACAGCGGGAUAGGACGCGGGAGAUAUGAAGAAGCAGCAGCAUUAGCGCGCUCUGGGUGUCGGGAGACAGGCCUAGGCCUUGCGGCCCCGAGGCCCCCUCAAAACGACCCCCAGGAACGUUCGGAAAACUGGCCCUCGUGGCGGUGGGGGGGGGGGAAAGCAGCGGGCACGUGACUCCGAUCAGCCAAUCCGAGUGCUGCUGACGUGGCCGCGCGGCCCGGAUGCUCUCCCCACCCCCCAACCUGCUCGGGAAGGGAGGGGCUGGGGGCUAYGCCCCCUCCCCCAACACUGCUUCGGUUUCCGGGGGGGUUGACACCCCGGAUUACAUCCUCCCCCCACACCAAGCCGAGGGCAACAUUGGAGCCCCCCCGGAAGGCUCCACCAUCCAGAUUCUUCACUGCAGCGGCCUCYCUGCCAAGAACAGCAUUCCGCCCUGCGUCCUGCAGCCACACCCCUGGCGAGCCGCGCCUGGCUACGCCCACGCGACCCCUCCCGUUCGGCCAAUGGAGAACCACGAAUGGCACUACCAGCCCAAGCUUGGCAGUCGGGAGUUACUUCGUGCUUGGGAAAACUUAGUUGGAAGAGGAGGCGGGGAGAAGGUGYUGGAGGCCGUGGGGAGAUGGCCCUUGCACCUAUUCCAACCUCCCUGUUUCCCUGGAGUCGCCGAACCACAGCGCAACCAAGCGGCUCAGAUAUGGCGGGUUGCCUAUUCCCUGUGAGUCUAUGCGGCACUCUUCUGCCUGGUGACUGACGACUUGGAAAUGAAGUUUGUGACGUCAUCGCUUCGACAGACCAAUAGAAGRAGCUCCCGCGGAGAUGGGAUCCACCUCCUUCGACUUUGCUACUUCACGCGCGUGAGCGAGCGAGCGCGCGCGGAGGGGGUGGGGAAAUUCUGGAGCAGGGUGGCGCGCAUGAGCAACGAAGCUCCUCCUCCCCGCCUAUAUAUAAAGGGCUGGCGCGGGGCUCGGCGGCGCCAUUUCGCGCUGGAGUGGAGCAGCCUCUAGAACGACCUGGAGGAUUCUGCUUACCGAUACAGAGCCUUUGACUCGUCGGGGGCCGCCAUUACAAUCCACGUCCAUCCGUUUGGAAAUGGCCUUCGUCUCGGCCUAUGACCGGUCCCGGCGGACAGUACAGACCCCAUAGAAGCCCCUGAAGCUCCCCUUUUUCGGGCCCCGCCCAAUUGUCGGAGUCUGUCCACCCCCUCUACUCCGCCCUCAAGAGGAUUUCAAAGAUGGAGGCGGCGGCUUCCUAAACCACUUUUCGUGUUCAUCCGCCUCCAUCCGAGGUCGAAACGGGAUCUUGUCCAACCCGUACGGUCCCGACAGGAAGAGGGGACCCCUGCAAACCAACAGCGGGCUGUAUUGACGACGGUGUCUAGGAUCGGGGACUGUCUUUGGUUUUGGAGAGUCUACCCUCCUUCUCGUACGCCGGUCUCUGCUGAGGCCGCCGCCAUUUUCUUGCUGUCCGCUGCCUGCGGAGCGCGCCAAGCUGCCGGGAGUCCUGCGAGAGGCCGCGCGGAGGAGACUGCUYGUGCCGGCCCAGCGGGGAGAUUGUCGCCUGGAGGGCCAAGGGCAACGGCCUCCCCCCCACUUCCCGGGUUAUGCUGGACCGGGCGGUGAGGGGAUCCGAGGCCACCCGGACUUUUCGCGGCUGAAGGCAGC